UACGGAGGGGGCUAGCGUUGUUCGGAAUUACUGGGCGUAAAGCGCGCGUAGGCGGCCCUGCAAGUCGGGGGUGAAAGCCCGAGGCUCAACCUCGGAACUGCCUUCGAUACUGCGGGUCUCGAGUCCGGGAGAGGUAAGUGGAAUUCCUAGUGUAGAGGUGAAAUUCGUAGAUAUUAGGAAGAACACCAGUGGCGAAGGCGGCUCACUGGCCCGGUACUGACGCUGAGGCGCGAAAGCGUGGGGAGCAAACAGG
rnacentral:rRNA from 1 species